rnacentral:rRNA from 1 species
CAGUAGCCGCGGUAAUACGUAGGGUGCAAGCGUUAAUCGGAAUUACUGGGCGUAAAGCGUGCGCAGGCGGUUCGUUAAGACAGAUGUGAAAUCCCCGGGCUUAACCUGGGAACUGCAUUUGUGACUGGCGGGCUAGAGUAUGGCAGAGGGGGGUAGAAUUCCACGUGUAGCAGUGAGAUGCGUAGAGAUGUGGAGGAAUACCGAUGGCGAAGGCAGCCCCCUGGGCCAAUACUGACGCUCAUGCACGAAAGCGUGGGGAACAAACAGGAUUAGAUACCCCUGUAGUCCCUGUCUCUUAUAA